CACGUAGGGUGCGAGCGUUGUCCGGAAUUAUUGGGCGUAAAGAGCUCGUAGGCGGUUUGUCGCGUCUGCUGUGAAAACGCGAGGCUCAACCUCGCGCCUGCAGUGGGUACGGGCAGACUAGAGUGCGGUAGGGGAGAUUGGAAUUCCUGGUGUAGCGGUGGAAUGCGCAGAUAUCAGGAGGAACACCGAUGGCGAAGGCAGAUCUCUGGGCCGUAACUGACGCUGAGGAGCGAAAGCGUGGGGAGCGAACAGG
rnacentral:rRNA from 1 species